UCCUACGGGAGGCAGCAGUGGGGAAUUUUCCGCAAUGGGCGAAAGCCUGACGGAGCAACGCCGCGUGAGGGAUGAAGGCCUCUGGGCUGUAAACCUCUUUUCUCAAGGAAGAAGAUAUGACGGUACUUGAGGAAUAAGCCACGGCUAAUUCCGUGCCAGCAGCCGCGGUAAUACGGGAGUGGCAAGCGUUAUCCGGAAUUAUUGGGCGAAAAGCGUCCGCAGGCGGCCCUUCAAGUCUGCUGUAAAAACGUGGAGCUUAACUCCAUCAUCGCAGUGGAAACUGUAGGGCUUGAGUUUGGUAGGGGCAGAGGGAAUUCCCGGUGUAGCGGUGAAAUGCGUAGAUAUCGGGAAGAACACCAGUGGCGAAGGCGCUCUGCUGGGCCAUAACUGACGCUCAUGGACGAAAGCCAGGGGAGCGAAAGGGAUUAGAUACCCCUGUAGUCCUGGCCGUAAACGAUGAACACUAGGUGUCGGGGGAAUCGACCCCCUCGGUGUCGUAGCUAACGCGUUAAGUGUUCCGCCUGGGGAGUACGCACGCAAGUGUGAAACUCAAAUGAAUUGACGG
rnacentral:rRNA from 1 species